AUUGAACGCUGGCGGAAUGCUUUACACAUGCAAGUCGAACGGCAGCACGGGGGCAACCCUGGUGGCGAGUGGCGAACGGGUGAGUAAUACAUCGGAACGUGCCCGGUCGUGGGGGAUAACGUAGCGAAAGUUACGCUAAUACCGCAUACGAUCUGAGGAUGAGAGCGGGGGACCUUCGGGCCUCGCGCGAUCGGAGCGGCCGAUGUCAGAUUAGGUAGUUGGUGGGGUAAAGGCCUACCAAGCCGACGAUCUGUAGCUGGUCUGAGAGGACGACCAGCCACACUGGGACUGAGACACGGCCCAGACUCCUACGGGAGGCAGCAGUGGGGAAUUUUGGACAAUGGGCGCAAGCCUGAUCCAGCCAUUCCGCGUGCAGGACGAAGGCCUUCGGGUUGUAAACUGCUUUUGUAUGGAACGAAAAGGCUCUGGCUAAUACCUGGGGCUCAUGAUGGUACCGUAAGAAUAAGCACCGGCUAACUACGUG
rnacentral:rRNA from 1 species